AUACGUAGGGGGCAAGCGUUGUCCGGAAUUACUGGGCGUAAAGGGUGCGUAGACGGCACUGCAAGUCUGGAGUGAAAGCCCGGGGCUCAACCCCGGGACUGCUUUGGAAACUGUGGUGCUAGAGUGCAGGAGAGGUAAGUGGAAUUCCUAGUGUAGCGGUGAAAUGCGUAGAUAUUAGGAGGAACACCAGUGGCGAAGGCGGCUUACUGGACUGUACCUGACGUUGAGGCUCGAAAGCGUGGGGAGC
rnacentral:rRNA from 1 species